rnacentral:tRNA from 4 species
UGCUUCAUAGCUCAGUAGGUAGAGCGUUCCCCUGAUAAGGGAGAGGUCACUGGUUCGAAUCCAGUUGAAGCAA